CAUGGGGUUGGCUUUCACCGUGUCCUCAAUUUGGAUCCCCAGGGCAGAAAAAUUAGGACUUUCUCAGUUAAAGAAAAAGCCAAAAGUGAAACAAAAUCUCUGGAGAGUUGUGUUUCCCCACAGCAGCGACGGCCCCUCAGCACCCGCUUCUGUUCAGUCAGGACCCUCGGACUUUUACCAGUAAAUAUCGGUUUAUUCCUGAAACCAGAAGCCCUAAACAUACCUUUGUUUAUAAGUUUUCCUGCUCUGCAUCUCUGGGAACUGGAGCCCGCAGGACCUAGAGCCUUCUGUUGGUAACGUAGACCCGAGUUUACAAAUUAUUCUUUUACCAUUUUAAAUCCUGCUUUUAAGGACAGAGGUGUUCCCUCCUGCCCACCACGGGAAGUGGUAGAAACCCCUGCAAAUGCCCAAAUUGCUCCUCCUCUCCGAAGCCUGCGGCCUGGGUGGUUCUGAUUGCUGGCAGUUCUGUAAUACAACCUUAAUCUGAGCAGUUGAGGCUGGUCCUACCUUAUCUUCAGACGUCUUGCGGAGGACUCCUGUUACCAGUUUGGUACUCAAAAGCUACACCCCACCAUCAGAAGUCACUUUUUGUUUUUUUCCAAAGGCAGUGAUAGCUCACCCUCUCUAGCUCUAAUGGAAAACAUGAUAAUUGCAAUGCAACUUUCUAAUAAAUUGUUCAUAUAUUCAUAAUUCCGUUGCAAUCCCAAAUUGGAGAAGAGAUCUGUUAAAGUGCACUGGUGUACCAAGGCUCAGAACCACUGCUUUCUCCAGCUCAUAGGAUGCUUUUCCAGACUGUGGAUACGUGUAUGUGUACUGCUGUGUUGAUAAGUAAAAACCAACGAUGGAGUUCGUUGCUUUUAUACAUCCCAAAGAGAAGUUCUCCACCGUUCCCUGUCUGUUUUCUGACCGAAAAGGCGUGUUUGUGAACAGUGUUCACGCGAGCUCUGCCAUCCCACCCUCACAUCAGCUCACACCAAUGCCAGGAUGGGAGGAGUUGCCAGCGGACCUUCCCCAAAAACACCCCGGGCCCGCAGUGGCAUCGUCAGGGAGCAGUUCAAACCUGUGUCCUUUGGGCUUUGUGUAAAGCAAACGCAGAACGAGAAAAAUCGAGAUGUUAAAUCCAUUAGAAAACCAAUUCCUUAUUGUACAGUAGUAUGGAGAUCUCUAGUCAACCUGCCAUUAAUAAUAGAUUCUUAUUUUUUGAAUGAUCUAUUUAAAAGAACAGCAAGCAUUGUAUUUGCUAGUAAAUCUGAAGUGUUUACAUGGAAUUACUAAAUAAAUUAUUUGAUCUAA